CAGAGAAUGGGAAAAGCCAAGGGCAUUUUUCAUUAUUCACAUCCAUGGUCUAGAAUCUGCCUAGAUAGGGUUCUGAGUUCAUGCAUCCCAGCCUCUUCCUUGUUUUUCAUGCAAAAAAAAAAAAAACAUAAAAACAAAACAAAAAACAAACAAAAACAAAAAAGCAAACACACACACACAAGAGUAGACAAAGACAAAUUUCAAACCCCAAGAGAGAGGUUGAAAUUUUAUCAGCAAGCCCUUCAACUUCAGGAAAAAACUAAAAAAAACUAGCAUAUCUAUGAGUCAAAGCACAUAGUCCGUCCAGCUUUUGCUUUGCUGUGUUUAUUUAUAGUAUUCUAAAAUUAAAAUAUAAUCACUUGGUUUUCCUACUUCCUUUCAUCUCUUCAACCCCUUUCAUGCAUACUCCUGUUCUCUUUCAAAUUCAUAGUGUCUUUUUAUUUUUUAAUUGUUGUUACAUAUUUGACAGUAUGAAGCACAAGGUAGGCACAUGGGUUGAGGCUCUAACAUUU
rnacentral:lncRNA from 1 species